GUUUGUGAACUACAUAGCACUUACUGCCCCAAGCUCCUUACCACUGUCCCCUUCUCCAAGUCAGUCACCACUCUUGCCAGCUCUGUCCUGGUCCCCCAACUCCUCUGCGGCCAUACAGGGUCCCAAUGUCCCUCUUUCACCGGAGCCUUUCCACUUUACCAGCUUGACAUAUUAAACUUCUGAGUAGAAUGUUACCAUUUAACCACAGGUGCCAUGGCUUUAAGAGAUGUGGAAACCCUGGAGCUGGAAACCCACACCCCAGGCCUUACCUCUCUGAGCCUCAUUUCCGUUGUUCUCAGGUGUGGGUGAUGCCACCUAUCUCUGACAGUCAUGGUGAGGAGGAGCAGAAACUCUACACGAGACGCACUUAAGCAGCGCUUGUUACACACUAGGGCGGGGCUAGGUUCCCCUCUCUCCUUCCUCCUCUGGGUUCCAGACGGGCUCCAGUGGGGCUGGUUCUCUUGGAUCCAGAGAUGUCUCUGGGCUGCACUAGCCCAUCCCCUUCAUUCCAUUAGUAAAUCCUGGAGUCCAGGAGCUGCAUCAAAUUCACUGCAGCUCAACAAACCUCUGGUGGGUGCCUGUUGUGCGCCAGGUGCCCUGACAGUGGCUGAAGAUGUAGAGACGGAACAAGAAAGGACCUCGUACCCUGGAAGCUCCAGUGUGGAUAAGCCUGACGGGGUGGAGAGUAAUUGGAAAGGAGCGGCCUCAUCCCCAACUCCAAAUUAAUAUUUUCCUGUCCUGAUUUAAUUCCGCCCGGGAACAGAGACACAGAGACACGCCGUGUCAAGCGCUAAGUAAUCCGCCAUGAGCCACCUGAGGAGGAGGAAGGACUCCUUUUCUUUGCGGUUUUACCUACCAGGACCCAAGCACAGUGCUAGGCCCCAAGGGAAAAUAAAACAUGGGCCCCAGCCUUUAAUGAUCUUGAAUCCUAGUCCCAACUAUCCAGGGCCGGCACAUAGUUGGUGUUUAAUAUGUGCUGAUUCCCUGCCUUCUGCUGACGGCAUCCCUGGGCAGAAACUGGGAUUGGAGAGGAGGGAAUAAGUGCUGUCUGGAAGAAGAGAAGAGAGAAGCCCAGCGAGUGGUGUAACUAGUUUGGAGUGUGCUGUGUGAUGUCAUCUGUUCCCCUGUCUUACCAUGGAAACUUCAGUAAAAUCCCCUCUGCCCACCCACACUUUGGGAAUUGGAUAUAUAUGUGAUACGUGCUACAGAGUGAGCGUGGGGGUAGAGCAGAGGCUGACCUGCAUUCAGGUCCCGCAUGUGGAGGAUUGCCCGAUCAAUUACUCCUUUCCACAGCCAUCCAUGGACUGCAGACCAUGCACCAGCGUGGUGCCAAAGCUGGGAACAACCCCGAAUGUGAUGUGGUCCUGCCCUCCAUCAAAGACCAGAGGGGAGGACUCCGCAGACCUAUUAGUUCAGAACCCAGGAUGGAUUCUCCAGGGGGCAGAGGAGUCCUACCUGAGCAGCUUCUGGAAGCCAGAGUGGGGCCAGCACAUACAUUUUCCCACUCAGUCCUCAGAAACUCGGCUCAGAGGGUAGGGGACUGGCUCAGGGUCACACAGCUGGGAGGAGGUAAAGCCGGAUGCGCCCCCAGGUGUGUAACUUUAUAGAUCAGCAUUGCUCAGGGCUCACCAGCCAUGCUGAUGCAGAAAUGAAGACGGGCACUCUGUCCCCUUGCCCCAGGCAGCCUCAGCGCUGCAUUUCUGUCUCGACACUCCCCCGACAGCGGAAGGACCCCUCACCUCCAGCCUUGGGCUUUAUCCCAGCUGUCGCCAAAGUUGCAGACAUGACUUAGGGCCAGAAGAUCCUCACAGGCUCUGCCCUCAUCCUGCCCACUGCUCCUGCCCCCGACCUCAGGGACUUCAGGGGACACGUAUGGCUUUUAUCUGCCUGGCAUCUAUCUCUUUUAAAACUACCUCAAAUUUCCUUUGGUGCCUGCAUCCCCCUCCCACUAUGAGUCCAUGUGGCCCUCAGAGGCAGAGCCCACUCCCAAGCUCCAGGGUUGGCUAUGGGCCUGAAAUCCUCCCCCCGCCCUUGGCCACAGUGACUGGUUCAUGGGAGGACAUGUGACCUAACCUGGGCCAGUGACACUCAGUCUUGAGAAUUUUACUGUUACUACUGAGAAGGAGAUGCUCCCUUUGUUGAACCAUUAGGAUGUGGGCCUAGUGCUAUAGGCAGCCGUCUUGUGAUCACAGGGAGAGAGCAAGCCUGAGGAAGAGCCCAGCCUAGAAGAAGCCAAGAAGAGCUGAGAGGUGAAGACGGAUCUUUGAUAAUGUUUUCUGAACUUCCGGAUCACACUGCCCCUAAAGACGCCCUUCCCCUCUUCAAUAGUCAGUAACCUCCCUUCUGCUCAAGCCAGCUUGAGUUUAGGUUUCUAUCUGGCUCUUUCCCCAAAGUGAAAAGAGUUGGGACUAAUUUAGGCAUCAACAUCUUGUAGGAAUUGUGCCAAUGUGUUAACCGCUGCCCACUCUAAUCCCCUGGAAGGAAUCUGAGAUGAAUUGAAUCCAAAUCCAUCUUUGACAGUGGAGGAAACUGAAUCCCAGAUUUAGAAAAACAAAGUAACAUCCAAAGCCACAGAACCAGUAAGGGGCAGAACUGAGAUUCCAACUCAAACCUGAAGACUCUUCAUCCUGAGUCCAUUCUGGACCAUCGUGUGAUUCAUUUGUUUAGUUCUGAAAAGGUCUGCAUGCAGUGUGUGUACAUAGCAUGGAUGUGUUUCUGUGUCCUCAGAGAGAUACUGAGGUCCUCAAGGGCCAGGCUUGUGCCGCUGACAUCCCUGACAUCUCCCAGGCCCAAGUUAACACAGUGGUUGUCCUCAAGGGAUCCCUGACAUCAAGUAUAAAUGGGCUUCCAAAGAAUGCCACUCUGGCAUGCCCAGAGCUGGGAGGUUAUCUGGUUCUGGGAAUGACACUGAGAGGCCAGGGUGGGAGUUUACAGGCCUCCCCAGCAGGCAGGCAGAAAGAUGAAAACACAGACACUUGGAGACAAAGGGCUGAAGCCAUGCCCACUGAGGACCCCGGAGAGGAAGGCCAGGAUCUCAGAGCGGGCAGAGGAAGAAGUCAGUGGGCAACUGUCAAGGAGACACAUGAUUGUGUAAGGUGGGUACAUCUGUGUAAAGUAGCCGCUCCAUUCUUAAUUGCAUCAGGCCAAACCCCCUGGUCCAUCCAGACAAGACCCUGGACCCCAAAUCCUGGGGCAGCCUAGACCCAAGCCCAAGCCUCUUACAGCAUCACUGCCCUCUCUCCUGACUCAUCCCUACAGGGCUUCUCCCUGUGCCCAUCCCUGUGGGAGGAUGUACUCUCCACUCCAUUGACACCGGACUUGAUGAUAUGGCUCCUUUUGGUGAACGGAAGAGGAACAGAAGUGACAUCCAAGCAAAAACUUUAGGAGUGUCACAUGUUUCCACCAUCUUUCUUGAUCUUUUCCCUCUGCCCCCAGAAUAACAUAUCUUGGAUCAGGCCUGCUUUUUCACUCUGAACCCCAGAAUGAAGAUUUAUAGAGCUGAGCCACCAACGGCCCACAGCAGAUAUGUACCAUGAGCAAAAAGUCAACUUUUGUUGGUGUAAGCCACUGAGAUUUGGGGAUAGAUUGUUACUGCAAACAAUUAGUUAGCAAAAGCUAACUACUACAGAGGGCAACGCGCACAGCUUUAAGGCCACUUAUGACAACCCAAUGGGGAGCCAAGUGGCUCCCCACGUUGCUUCAAAUCAAAGGGUACAGUGGCUUCCAUUGAACAUGAACAGGAGUCACAUGGGAUACUUAGUGAAAUGCAGAUUCCCAGAUCCCCCUCCUGAGAUUUGGAGCCAGUUCAUCAAGGGGGGUCCACAGAUUCGUUUUUUGACAAGCUCUGAAGAUGACAUAUGGGCUGUCAACAGACCA
rnacentral:lncRNA from 1 species